AGACCCGAAACCCGGUGAUCUAGCCAUGGGCAGGUUGAAGGUUGGGUAACACUAACUGGAGGACCGAACCGACUAAUGUUGAAAAAUUAGCGGAUGACCUGUGGCUGGGGGUGAAAGGCCAAUCAAACCGGGAGAUAGCUGGUUCUCCCCGAAAGCUAUUUAGGUAGCGCCUCGUGAAUUCAUCUCCGGGGGUAGAGCACUGUUUCGGCUAGGGGGCCAUCCCGGCUUACCAACCCGAUGCAAACUGCGAAUACCGGAGAAUGUUAUCACGGGAGACACACGGCGGGUGCUAACGUCCGUCGUGAAGAGGGAAACAACCCAGACCGCCAGCUAAGGUCCCAAAGUCAUGGUUAAGUGGGAAACGAUGUGGGAAGGCCCAGACAGCCAGGAUGUUGGCUUAGAAGCAGCCAUCAUUUAAAGAAAGCGUAAUAGCUCACUGGUCGAGUCGGCCUGCGCGGAAGAUGUAACGGGGCUAAACCAUGCACCGAAGCUGCGGCAGCGAACGUAUCACUUAAAGCGAUUCAGCGGGUUACGAUUGACGGAGCGAAGCGACGUCAAAGCGUAUACAAAGUCGAGUCGGUUUAAGGAUACGUUCGUUGGGUAGGGGAGCGUUCUGUAAGCCUGCGAAGGUGGCCUGUGAGGGUUGCUGGAGGUAUCAGAAGUGCGAAUGCUGACAUAAGUAACGAUAAAGCGGGUGAAAAGCCCGCUCGCCGGAAGACCAAGGGUUCCUGUCCAACGUUAAUCGGGGCAGGGUGAGUCGACCCCUAAGGCGAGGCCGAAAGGCGUAGUCGAUGGGAAACGGGUUAAUAUUCCCGUACUUGGUGUUACUGCGAAGGGGGGACGGAGAAGGCUAUGUUGGCCGGGCGACGGUUGUCCCGGUUUAAGCGUGUAGGUGUGUGUUCCAGGUAAAUCCGGUUCACUUUAACACUGAGGCGUGACGACGAGGCACUACGGUGCUGAAGCAACAAAUGCCCUGCUUCCAGGAAAAGCCUCUAAGCAUCAGGUAACAUCAAAUCGUACCCCAAACCGACACAGGUGGUCAGGUAGAGAAUACCAAGGCGCUUGAGAGAACUCGGGUGAAGGAACUAGGCAAAAUGGUGCCGUAACUUCGGGAGAAGGCACGCUGACACGUAGGUGAAGUGAUUUACUCACGGAGCUGAAGUCAGUCGAAGAUACCAGCUGGCUGCAACUGUUUAUUAAAAACACAGCACUGUGCAAACACGAAAGUGGACGUAUACGGUGUGACGCCUGCCCGGUGCCGGAAGGUUAAUUGAUGGGGUCAGCGCAAGCGAAGCUCCUGAUCGAAGCCCCGGUAAACGGCGGCCGUAACUAUAACGGUCCUAAGGUAGCGAAAUUCCUUGUCGGGUAAGUUCCGACCUGCACGAAUGGCGUAAUGAUGGCCAGGCUGUCUCCACCCGAGACUCAGUGAAAUUGAACUCGCUGUGAAGAUGCAGUGUACCCGCGGCAAGACGGAAAGACCCCGUGAACCUUUACUAUAGCUUGACACUGAACAUUGAGCCUUGAUGUGUAG
rnacentral:rRNA from 1 species